UGUGACUAUGACUCUUUCAUGUAUCUGGCUUUAAAGCCCCUAGUCUACCUUCAGACAGACUAUUUAUGUAGGCUGCUUUAUUUAUCUUAUGUUUUAGUCACCCUGUACCCAUUAUAGGUGCAGGGUGUGUGUUAUGUAAUUGUUUAUAGUGUGUGUGUACUGUGUAAUGUAUUGCCUGCUCUCUUGUAUUGCUGAGGUUUGCUACCAACUAGGUGGGUUUGGCUAUGGAGCUUGUCUAGUGCCC